GUGAAUCAUCAAAUUUUUGAACGCAAAUUGCACUCUUUGGUAUUCCGGAGAGUAUGCCUGUUUGAGGGUCAGUGUAAAUAAAAAUCGGUGUGGUUGCUGUGUUUCUUGGUGACGUACCGGAUUUGGGUCGUCUUGCCUUGGGUUAAGUGACGUAAAAUUUUGUAUGAUUUUUUUGAAUGUAUUGAACUGACUUUACGCACGUUUGCGAUAUCGAAGACUA
rnacentral:misc_RNA from 1 species